ensembl:lncRNA
GUUGAGUGACAGGGGGCGGGAGGGAGCGCACCUCCGAGGGUAUAAGACCCUGCUGUGACACCAUAUUUAGGAAAUAAUUACAUAGGCAGCAAGAGGACAGAAAGCACUGGGACAAGCCAUAAGGGAUACAUAGAGUUACAUAGGGACUACAUAGUGACUAUAGAAGCCAUACGGGGUACAUAGUGAUACAUAGAGACUAUAGUACAAGCCGUAAGGUAUACCACGAGAUAGAUAGGGACUAUAUAGAGACUGUAUCAGAAGCCAUAAGGGAUACACAGUGGUUCAUAGGGACUAUAUUAUACGACAUACAUGGUGAUACAUUGAGAAUAUACUGGAAGCCAUAAGGAAUACAUAGUGAUACAUAAAGACUACACUACAUAGGCGCUAUAUUAGAAGCCAUAAGGAAUACAUAGUUAUACAUAGGUACUACGUGGGUAAUUUCAGCAUGUUGGUGGUGUGUGUUGCUGUGAUCUUCAGUCUGGGUUCAAUGUGUCAGACGGCUCCUGUUUCUCAAACCUGCGAGACUCUUCUGAAACCUCUAGAGAUGAAAACCAUAGAUCCGUUGAUAGGAAAAUGGUCCAUUAUAGCAUCUAGUAACAACCAACCAGGUGCCGGCACUGUGGUUGGCCUUUUCAUGGAUAACAUUUGGUCAGACAUGUCACCAGGGACCCACCCCGACAUGCUCAAAGACACUCUUUACAUGAAAACAUGGGAUGGAAGAUGUUCCAGUUACAAUCUCAACAUGACCCUGGAAAACAACAAGCUCAGCUGGACCUAUGUUGUCCCUUCUUCCGCGGUCUUCCUGCCUACUUGUCCGGACUGUCUUUUGACCCGGACUUCCACCAUCAUCCAUGGAAACACCUACAGCUCUCUGGAAUUCACCAGUAAGAGAAGAGAACUCUCUGCUAGUGACCUGUUGCAGUUCAAGACCCAGGUUGACUGCCUCAACUUGCCAGCUGCCGUUUUCCUCAACACAAAGACAGAGCAUUGUCCAGAGAGCACCGAACCAUUGCCUGAAAUGGAAGACAUCUACAACAAGACGAUAGCCUUAAUGGAGACAGAUAUUUUCAAGUUUUUUUUGAGGGCCACAGAUUAUCUUAUUAAGAAGGCAGACUGGGUGGGAUGGCUUUAAAGGAAUUGUUAACGUGGUGUGUUAGAUCUUUCCAAUUUCCAAUGAAUAGAAUCAGGUGUAUUUAGCUGCACUUAAUGAAAGCGGCGUUAGUAGAACCAUUUAGACUGUUUGUCUCCAUAAGGAUCCCCAUUACUGACCUUGCAAAGUGUAACUUCUCAUGGAACUUAAGGACAUCCAUCAAAAACAACACCUGAUGAAGGUCUGAAAUGCGUUUUACUAUCUAUAAUUGUUGUGAUACUGGAGGUUUGCAACAGGUUGUAUCAGCAGUUUUAUGCAUGAGAAUGAAAGUUUAUAUGAUAUGACUGGCUUGUCAUUCUGUGUCCAUAAAGGCCUUCCAAUAACCACAUUUAUAUUGUUGUUGGUAUUUAUUCAGGGAUCCAUGCAGCUCCUCAAACAACCAUUGAUAAUCUGUAACAUGUUCACACAGCUUUAUUACAUUGGUUGUUAUUGUUAGCAUUAGCAGUAUCUAUAUUUUCUUCUACAUUUGUCUCACACCUUUUCAUCCUGUUUUCCCUUCAAUGAUUUUCAGUCCCUCCCAUUCACUCCCACUCCUCCUAACCCUCCCAUUCACUCCCACUCCUCCUAACCCUCCCAUUCACUCCCACUCCUCCUAACCCUCCCAUUCACUCCCACUCCUCCUAACCCUCCCAUUCACUCCCACUCCUCCUAAUCCUCCCAUUCACUCCCACUCCUCCUAACCCUCCCAUUCACUCCCACUCCUCCUAACCCUCCUAAAGAAGGAAGAACCUCUCCAGACAUCCAUUGGUACAAUGUCAGUAGUUAACCCAAUCAAUGUCAACCUCCACCCGACCACCCAAUCAAUGUCAACCUCCACCCGACCACACAAUCAAUGUCAACCUCCACCCGACCACACAAUCAAUGUCAACCUCCACCUAACCACCCAAUCAAUGUCAACCUCCACCCGACCACACAAUCAAUGUCAACCUCCACCCGACCACACAAUCAAUGUCAACCUCCACCCGACCACACAAUCAAUGUCAACCUCCACCCGACCACCCAAUCAAUGUCAACCUCCACCUAACCACACAAUCAAUGUCAACCUCCACCUAACCACCCAAUCAAUGUCAACCUCCACCUAACCACCCAAUCAAUGUCAACCUCCACCCGACCACACAAUCAAUGUCAACCUCCACCUAACCACCCAAUCAAUGUCAACCUCCACCUAACCACCCAAUCAAUGUCAACCUCCACCCGACCACCCAAUCAAUGUCAACCUCCACCCGACCACACAAUCAAUGUCAACCUCCACCCGACCACCCAAUCAAUGUCAACCUCCACCCGACCACACAAUCAAUGUCAACCUCCACCCGACCACACAAUCAAUGUCAACCUCCACCUAACCACACAAUCAAUGUCAACCUCCACCCGACCACACAAUCAAUGUCAACCUCCACCUAACCACCCAAUCAAUGUCAACCUCCACCUAACCACACAAUCAAUGUCAACCUCCACCCGACCACCCAAUCAAUGUCAACCUCCACCCGACCACACAAUCAAUGUCAACCUCCACCCGACCACACAAUCAAUGUCAACCUCCACCCGACCACACAAUCAAUGUCAACCUCCACCCGACCACCCAAUCAAUGUCAACCUCCACCCGACCACACAAUCAAUGCGAACCACACCUGUCAACCCUAACCCUUUUCAUGUCCAUCUGGUCAUGCUUUCGACCUGGACUAAGUUUAAAUAGACUUUAGACUCAGCCCACGCGCAUUUAUUAAUUAUUACAAUUGUAAUCUUAAUAUGUUCACCUUGCACAGACAAAAGAGGACUGGUCACCCCUCUGAGCCUGGGUCCUCUCUCGGUUUCUUCCUAAAUUUUGGCUUUCUUAGGGAGUUUUUCCUAGCCACUGAAAUUCAACACUACUGUUGUUUGCUCUUGGGGUUUAAGGCUGGGUGUUUUGUAAAAGCACUUUGUGACAACUGCUGAUGUAAAAGGGGCUUUAUAAAUAAAUGUGAUUGAUUGAUUGAUGUUUUUGAUAUUUUGUUGUUGCUACUUAAAGUGAUUAUCUCGUUGUUUCUAUAUACAGUCAAUGGAUUUGAAAUUAAACAAUAGAGAUGCAAUUGAGGUGCAGACUUUAAGUCGACGUCCGCGAUCCCG